GACGAACGCUGGCGGCGUGCCUAAUACAUGCAAGUCGAGCGCAGGAAGUCAUCCGAACCCUUCGGGGGGACGUUGACGGAAUGAGCGGCGGACGGGUGAGUAACACGUAAAGAACCUGCCCUCAGGUCUGGGAUAACCACGAGAAAUCGGGGCUAAUACCGGAUGGGUCAUCGGACCGCAUGGUCCGAGGAUGAAAGGCGCUUCGGCGUCGCCUGGGGAUGGCUUUGCGGUGCAUUAGCUAGUUGGUGGGGUAACGGCCCACCAAGGCGACGAUGCAUAGCCGACCUGAGAGGGUGAUCGGCCACACUGGGACUGAGACACGGCCCAGACUCCUACGGGAGGCAGCAGUAGGGAAUCUUCCACAAUGGACGAAAGUCUGAUGGAGCAACGCCGCGUGAACGAUGAAGGCCUUCGGGUCGUAAAGUUCUGUUGUAAGGGAAGAACAAGUGCCGCAGGCAAUGGCGGCA
rnacentral:rRNA from 1 species